rnacentral:rRNA from 1 species
CAAUAGCGUAUAUUAAAGUUGUUGCGGUUAAAAGCUCGUAGUUGGAUUUCUGUUUGGAGCGACCGGUCCGCCCUCUGGGCGAGCAUCUGGUCAGCUUUGAACAUCCUUCCGGAGAAUGUUUGGACGUUGAUUUGUUCUGAACGGGAUCUGGAACUUUUACUUUGAGGAAAUUAGAGUGUUCACUGCAGGCUUUCGCCUUGAAUACAUUAGCAUGGAAUAAUAAGAUAGGACCUUGGUUCUAUUUUGUCGGUUUCUAGAGCUGAGGUGAUGAUUAACAGGGAUAGUUGGGGCCAUUCGUAUUUAACUGUCAGAGGUGAAAUUCUUGGAUUUGUUAAAGACGAACUACUGCGAAAGCAUUUGGCAAGGAUGUUUUCAUUAAUCAAGAACGAAAGUUAGGGGAUCGAAGAUGAUCAGAUACCAU